rnacentral:rRNA from 1 species
UAGCGACAGGAAGGAGCCCAGCGCCGAAUCCCUGCCGCCCUCGGCGGCAGCGAAAUGUGGCGUUCGGGAGGGUCCGUUAUUCCGGGGCUUCGCCGUGCCGAGUCCAAGUCCUUCUUGAACGGGGCCACGGUCCGUAGAGGGUGCCAGACCCGUAGCGGCCGACGGCGUCCCCGGGUGGACCUCUCCUUAGAGUCGGGUUGCUUGAGAGUGCAGCCUAAAGCGGGUGGUAAACUCCAUCUAAGGCUAAAUAUCACCACGAGACCGAUAGCCAACAAGUACCGUGAGGGAAAGUUGAAAAGAACUUUGAAGAGAGAGUUCAAUAGUACGUGAAACCGUUCAGGGGUAAACGGGGAAGACUUGAAAAUCCGAAAGGAGAGAUUCACGUCUUCCGCCGGCCUCUUCGAGUCCGUCCGCGUAUGGUCGUACCCCCUCGUCCUGGCUUCGGCCCGGGCGACGGCGGGUCGUCCGGCCGGGCGGGCUCGAGGGUGCUGCGGAGGACCGCACUUCUCUCCCAGUAGGACGUCGCGACCCGUUCGGAGGCAGGCCUGAUGCCGGGCCGUAAGUCUCGGUUCCGCCGCGGCUCUCGGGCCGUCGGCGACCGAGUGGGCCCAGUGCAGGGCGGCGUUACGGACGGUAGUUGUAGACGGUGUCGAACCGCUCUUCGGAGCGCCUUCGGCCGCCGCCGAGUCGGUCGUCGAGCGCGGCCGCGGGCCUCAAGGGGCCCGCGUCGCUUCGCGACCUGCUGUCGGGUGGCGGUCCUGGGGCAGAGUUCACAUCACCCGUCGGCGACGCCGCAGUUUCGAGCUCUUACCCGACCCGUCUUGAAACACGGACCAAGGAGUCCAACGUGCGCGCGAGUCGUUGGGCGUUUAAACCCAAAGGCGCAAUUAAGGUGAAGGGGAGCUCGUCUCUCCUAGGGAGGAGGGGGGCACCGUUUACGGUCCCUCCGCACUCCCGCGGCGUCUCAGGCUCAUUGCGAGCCGAGGCGGACCUAGAGCGUUCACGUUGGGACCCGAAAGAUGGUGAACUAUGCCUGGCCAGGACGAAGCCAGGGGAAACCCUGGUGGAGGUCCGUAGCGGUUCUGACGUGCAAAUCGAUCGUCGGAGCUGGGUAUAGGGGCGAAAGACUAAUCGAACCAUCUAGUAGCUGGUUCCCUCCGAAGUUUCCCUCAGGAUAGCUGGCGCCCAGGUUGAGACGAGUCUCAUCUGGUAAAGCGAAUGAUUAGAGGCAUUGGGGUCGAAACGACCUCAACCUAUUCUCAAACUUUAAAUGGAUGAGAACCCCGGCUUGCUUGAUCGAGUGAAGCUGGGGCUCGGAUCCGGGUGCCAAGUGGGCCAAUUUUGGUAAGCAGAACUGGCGCUGUGGGAUGAACCAAACGCCGAGUUAAGGCGCCUAAAUCGACGCUCAUCAGACACCAUGAAAGGCGUUGGUUGCUUAAGACAGCAGGACGGUGGCCAUGGAAGUCGGAAUCCGCUAAGGAGUGUGUAACAACUCACCUGCCGAAGCAACUAGCCCUGAAAAUGGAUGGCGCUGUAGCGUCGUGCCUAUACUCGGCCGCCAACGGCAAACCCGGCGAGGCCCCGUGAGGGGCUUGCAGCCGUUACGCCUUGGUGAGUAGGAGGGCCGCGGCGAUGCGCGCAGAAGGGUCAAGGCGUGAGCCUGCCUGGAGCCGUCGCCGGCGCAGAUCUUGGUGGUAGUAGCAAAUACUCCAGCGAGGCCCUGGAGGACUGAUGUGGAGAAGGGUUUCUUGUGAACAGCCGUUGCACAAGAGUCAGUCGGUCCUAAGCCCUAGGAGAAAUCCGAUGCCGAUGGGCGCCGUUAAACGGACUUGUUCUCGUCUCCGAUCCGCGCCACCUCACCAGGUGAGCACGGAAGGAGGGGAACGCACCGGUUGGCGCCCUAGGUCGGGCGAAAGGGAAUCCGGUUCCUAUUCCGGAACCUGGCAGCGGAACCGUUCACAGUCGUGCCCUCUGACGAGAGCUCGUCGGGGUAACCCAAAAGGACCCGGAGACGCCGUCGGGAGAUCCAGGGAGAGUUGUCUCUUCUCUAUAAGCGUUCGAGUUCCCUGGAAACCUCUAGCAGGGAGAUAGGGUUUGGAGCGCAAAGAGCACCGCAGUUACGGCGGUGUCUGGAUCUUCCCCUCGGACCUUGAAAAUCCGGGUGAGGGCUACGAGGAACACCGCGCCAGACCGUACCCAUAUCCGCAGCAGGUCUCCAAGGUCAACAGCCUCUAGUCGUUAGAAUAAUGUGGGUAAGGGAAGUCGGCAAACUGGAUCCGUAACCUUGGGAUAAGGAUUGGCUCUGAGGAUCGUGGUGAGCCGGGCUUGGUUGGGAAGUGGAGCGGUGUCAACGAUCCGGGCCUGGGCGAGGGGAGUGGCGUUCGCGCGUCUACGACCCUCCGCUCGGUCCCGUGACUUGGCCACCCACGGAUCUUCCUUGCUGCGAGCUGUCGGCUGCCUUGUGCUUUCGUUUCGGCGGGAGCACGGGCCGGCUGUCUCU